rnacentral:tRNA from 8 species
CGGGGCGUGGCGCAGCCUGGUAGCGCACUUGCAUGGGGUGCAAGGGGUCGCAGGUUCAAAUCCUGUCGCCCCGA